rnacentral:rRNA from 1 species
UACGUAGGGUCCGAGCGUUGUCCGGGAUUACUGGGCGUAAAGAGCUCGUAGGUGGUUUGUCGCGUUGUUCGUGAAAACUCACAGCUCAACUGUGGGCGUGCGGGCGAUACGGGCAGACUUGAGUUCGGUAGGGGAGACUGGAAUUCCUGGUGUAGCGGUGAAAUGCGCAGAUAUCAGGAGGAACACCGGUGGCGAAGGCGGGUCUCUGGGCCGAUACUGACGCUGAGGAGCGAAAGCGUGGGGAGCGAACAGG